rfam:Ehrlichia chaffeensis str. Arkansas, complete genome.
GGGGCUGUAGCUCAGUAGGAUAGAGCGUUGGAUUCCUAAUCCGAAGGCCGUGCGUUCAAAUCGCACCAGUCCCG